rnacentral:rRNA from 1 species
GACAGAGGGUGCGAACGUUGUUCGGAAUUACUGGGCGUAAAGCGCAUGUAGGCGGCAGCGCAAGUCGGGCGUGAAAUCCCACGGCUCAACCGUGGAAGUGCACUCGAAACUGCGCAGCUAGAGUCCUGGAGAGGAAGGUGGAAUGCUUGGGUGUAGAGGUGAAAUUCGUAGAUAUCAAGCGGAACACCGGUGGCGAAGGCGGCCUUCUGGACAGUGACGUGACGGCUGAGAUGCGAAAGCGUGGGGAAGCAAACAGGGAUUAAGAAACCCUG